GUACAAUAGCAUACCAAAGCACUCCCAGCACAGUGCCAUAAUAAGCUAUACGUGAUGGUGUUUUCCUUUUCUCCAGCCAGAAGUAACCUUCUGCUUGUACUUGCGGCCAUCGUGAUUGCGCUGCUGCUCAAGAUGCCUCGCUCUUAUGGGUUGCUUCCUCUGGAACAUCCUUCGUCAUGCGUAAGAACCGAUCCGGAUAAUCCAGUUUGUAGGCCGCCUCCAUGAAAUGUGAUAUAUGUAUAUACUACAACGGCUUACCUCACAUAUAUGGAACUCACAGUACAAGGGAACACUUCAUGUAUCUCGAGACAUCCUCUUCAUGUGCCCUCGACACGUUGUAUAUAUCUAUCUAUUGUAUUGUCUCCUCGAAAAUACAA